AUUGAACGCUGGCGGCAGGCCUAACACAUGCAAGUCGAGCGGAUGAAGGGAGAUUGCUCCUGGAUUCAGCGGCGGACGGGCGAGUAAUGCCUAGGAAUCUGCCUGGCAGUGGGGGAUAACGUCCGGAAACGGGCGCUAAUACCGCAUAAGUCCUGAGGGAGAAAGUGGGGGAUCUUCGGACCUCACGCCAUCAGAUGAGCCUAGGUCGGAUUAGCUAGUUGGUGGGGUAAAGGCCUACCAAGGCGACGAUCCGUAACUGGUCUGAGAGGAUGAUCAGUCACACUGGAACUGAGACACGGUCCAGACUCCUACGGGAGGCAGCAGUGGGGAAUAUUGGACAAUGGGCGAAAGCCUGAUCCAGCCAUGCCGCGUGUGUGAAGAAGGUCUUCGGAUUGUAAAGCACUUUAAUUUGGGAAGAAGAGCAGUAAGUUAAUACCUUGCUGUUUUGACGUUACCAACAGAAUAAGCACCGGCUAACUUCGUG
rnacentral:rRNA from 1 species